rnacentral:rRNA from 1 species
CCUACGGGAGGCUGCAGUGGGGAAUAUUGGACAAUGGGGGGAACCCUGAUCCAGCCAUGCCGCGUGUGUGAAGAAGGCCCUCGGGUUGUAAAGCACUUUCAGUGAGGAAGAACGCCUGGUGGUUAAUACCCAUCAGGAAAGACAUCACUCACAGAAGAAGCACCGGCUAACUCCGUGCCAGCAGCCGCGGUAAUACGAAGGGUGCGAGCGUUAAUCGGAAUUACUGGGCGUAAAGCGCGCGUAGUUGGCUUGAUAAGCCGGUUGUGAAAGCCCCGGGCUCAACCUGGGAACGGCAUCCGGAACUGUCAAGCUAGAGUGCAGGAGAGGAAGGUAGAAUUCCCGGUGUAGCGGUGAAAUGCGUAGAGAUCGGGAGGAAUACCAGUGGCGAAGGCGGCCUUCUGGACUGACACUGACACUGAGGUGCGAAAGCGUGGGUAGCAAACAGGAUUAGAUACCCUAGUAGUC